UCCGGUUUGUCACCGGCAGUCUGAAGUGAGUCCCCAACUUAAUGCUGGCAACACUUCACGGGGGUUGCGCUCGUUGUGGGACUUAACCCAACAUCUCACGACACGAGCUGACGACAGCCAUGCACCACCUGUGAUGAGGUCCGAAGAAGUCGUGUUUCCACGAUUGUCCUCAACAUGUCAAGCCUAGGUAAGGUUCUUCGCGUUGCGUCGAAUUAAACCACAUGCUCCGCUGCUUGUGCGGGUCCCCGUCAAUUCCUUUGAGUUUUAGCCUUGCGGCUGUACUCCCCAGGCGGGGCACUUAAUGCGUUAGCUUCGGCACGGAGGGAGUCGACACCCCCCACACCUAGUGCCCAUCGUUUACAGCGUGGACUAC
rnacentral:misc_RNA from 1 species